rnacentral:lncRNA from 7 species
GCCUUUUGACCCGUGAGUGUUGUAGGCUUGGGGGUGACGGGAUCUGCUGUUGAUGAAGAUUGUGAGGAGGGAGACCAGAAGAUAAUGGACAACGAUACAGCAGAAGGGUCUGGUUACACUUGAGCUUAUUUCUUGGAAGAGUCUGAGAAGACGGCCUGUCAGGCUCCUAACACUAAGGGCCAUGUAACCAGUGAAGCAGCCAUUAUAUAUGAUUUGGUCUACACUUGUUGGAAAAAUUCCACAAGAGGAUCUCCUGGAAGCUAGCAGAAGUUUUUGGCUUGUACAUUGCCAGGCAGCCAUUGGAAUCGGAGCUGCAGUCAGAUUAAGGCCAGCCUGGCCUACAUUGAGAAACCUCAUUUUGGGAAAGUGAAAUACUUUGUCAAUUAACAUGCAGUUGGUUCAAUAAAGACUUUUGGAAAGUG